rnacentral:rRNA from 1 species
GACGAACGCUGGCGGCAGGCUUAACACAUGCAAGUCGAGCGCCCCGCAAGGGGAGCGGCAGACGGGUGAGUAACGCGUGGGAAUCUACCCAUCCCUACGGAAUAGCUCCGGGAAACUGGAAUUAAUACCGUAUACGCCCUACGGGGAAAGAUUUAGCGGGGAUGGAUGGGGCCGCGGUGGAUUUGGUAGUUGGGGGGGUAAAGGCCUACCAAGGCGACGAUCCAUAGCUGGUCUGGGAGGAUGAUCAGCCACAUUGGGACUGAGGACACGGCCCAAACUCCUACGGGAGGCUGCAGUGGGGAAUAUUGGACAAUGGGGGCAACCCUGAUCCAGCCAUGCCGCGUGAGUGAUGAAGGCCUUAGGGUUGUAAAGCUCUUUCACCGGGGAAGAUAAUGACGGUACCCGGAGAAGAAGCCCCGGCUAACUUCGUGCCAGCCGCCGCCGUAA